UAGCAAGGAGUAGUCACCAAGUUUCCCAAGGUAUGCCUCUAUAAAAAGACAUUCUAUAUGCAAACUCUCUUCACGUUCAAAACCCUAAACAUCUAUCUCUAUCCCUAUCUCUACACUAUGGCCAAGGUUCCUGUUAACACCUUUCUCCUUCUCAGCAGGAGAGCGUACACUGUUGCAGCGGAGAGUGUGGUGGGAGUGCAGAGGGCAGUGGUGAGGAAGGCGGCAGUGGAAUAUUCGAGCAGAGAAGCUCC